rnacentral:rRNA from 1 species
UACGGAGGGUGCAAGCGUUAUCCGGAUUCACUGGGCUUAAAGGGCGCGUAGGUGGGCUAGCAAGUCCGUGGUGAAAUCUCCAAGCUUAACUUGGAAACUGCCGUGGAUACUAUUAGUCUUGAAUCUCGUGGAGGUAAGCGGAAUAUGUCAUGUAGCGGUGAAAUGCUUAGAUAUGACAUAGAACACCGAUAGCGAAGGCAGCUUGCUGCGCGAGUAUUGACGCUGAGGCACGAAAGCGUGGGGAGCAAACAGG